UGAGGAAUAUUGGUCAAUGGGCGAGAGCCUGAACCAGCCAAGUCGCGUGAAGGAAGACGGUCCUAUGGAUUGUAAACUUCUUUUGCAGGGGAAUAAAGUUAUCCACGCGCUGGAUAUUUGUAUGUACCCUGAGAAAAAGCAUCGGCUAACUCCGUGCCAGCAGCCGCGGUAAUACGGAGGAUGCGAGCGUUAUCCGGAAUUAUUGGGUUUAAAGGGUGCGUAGGUUGCGAUAUAAGUCAGCGGUGAAAAUUUGGGGCUUAACCCUGAACUUGCCGUUGAAACUGUAUUGCUUGAGUGUAAACGGGGUAUGCGGAAUGCGUGGUGUAGCGGUGAAAUGCAUAGAUAUCACGCAGAACUCCGAUAGCGAAGGCAGCAUACCGGGCUACAACUGACACUGAAGCACGAAAGCGUGGGGAUCAAACA
rnacentral:rRNA from 1 species